GUCCUGGGAAGCAGCCGCCAUAUUUCAUUGUGUUGUCAACGUAGUUAAUUCAAUUAAUGUUAUUUGUUUUUUUUACGUGUGAGGGCCAUUGUUUUGCUAUUCUGAAUCCGGGAUAUGCAAAGGAUGGUACACGCUAGCUAAAAGGAAAGGAUUCUACAUAUUCAGUGAAAGCGCAUUGACGGUUGGGGAGUGUCCCAUGAUUCAUACAAAACUGGACCAAGGAAAGUUAUUGUUGCAGGAAAAAGUUGAUGGACCCGAAUAGAGCUGGUUACUUCACAGUUAUCACCCAGCAGCAACGACCAAGUCAUAAAAGACCAUUGAGUCACACUACCAGAUCCUUUGGACUUAAUCAUGAACGUCCCAGAAGGAUUUAUUCUGGAAUAAGAAUUGUAAAUGGAAAUAUAGAGAGAAGAGAUGAGUGCACUACACAGACCAAUGCAUCUGGGGCUAAUGGACAUCAAAGGCAGUCUUCAGUACCAUCUGUGUUGCGUGGGGUCCAAUGUAUAGCACCAGCUUGAUUUG